rnacentral:lncRNA from 1 species
CACAUUUACUUGAUCACUCAAAGCAAAUUCAAAUAGAUUGCUUUGGCUUAGUCUUGUUUUGUUUUGCUUUUGUGUAUGUCUAUGAGCGCAUUGUUCAGUUCCUUAAAUGAAUCUGUUAUUUGGUAUUUACUAAGUAUGACAUGAUUCCUGAAUAAGUGAUUUUUGCAAGGAUAUUAAAAAUUCCAUUAACAUGCCGGUUUAGAAAUUAUAACUUAAAAUUUUUAAGCACAUAAUAUUUGGAAAUCAUGUAUUUGUUGAAUAAGUAGAUUUUAAGUGUACAAUUAUAUCAAAAUUGCAUUUCCAUAUGGCUAAAAUAAUAAUUCACAAAUAUAUAAAUUUCAGGAUUGUCCUGCAUUAUUGGAGGCUCUAGGUACAAGCAAGAAUGAUGGACAAUAAUUAAGUGUAUUUGUCUAUGCCAUCUGGAAGCCUUUUACAGUAUAUAAAUUAGUAAGAUUAUUAUAAUAUUCUUAGUUAAUGGAUUCUGUCAGAUUUGAGCUCUAGAUUUGUUUGUGGUUGAAGGGCUCUUUGUGUGUUUGACAUAAGUGCUUGGUUAUUUCAGUGACGAGGGGUAUUAGUAAAUGCUAUUAAUUCAUUCCAUUGUAUCUUAUUGUUUUAAUAGAUUGAAACUCAGGAAACUUACUGAGGUUUUUGCAGUUUGGGACAAAGUGUAUAUUGUGUAUUCAGUUGCUCAUGGUACAUAAAGCAGUAAUCAACCUUUAUUUAGGGUUACUGUGGGCCAAAUGGUUUGUCUUCUUGGCCUAGUAGGUUUUGGGAGCAAGAAAAAUUCAAUACACCUUUGUUGUAGAGAAAGAUGUAUCUGAUUUGUCUAUGGUUCCCAAGAGGGAACACCUAAACCUUUGUGAUUUCCAGAGAGCUAGGAUUUUCUUUUAUUCAUGGUGAGCCCUUGAACCACACCUGAAUUUAUGCUGAAAAAAUGACUCAUGAUGGAACUGGACAUGCCAGAAAGGCUAGCCACAUGGUUAGAGGUUUUAGACUUUGAGCUAUGAGAUAUCUGGUAGACCUCCUGACAUCUGGAAAGGAGAGAAGGAAAGAGAUUGAGUUCAGUGGCUUGGAUCAUUGCUGUGGUGUGAGUUCAGUCUCUGGCCCAGGAACUUCCACAUGCUGUAGAUAUGGCCAAAAAGGUUGGGCGGGGGGAGGAAUGAGAUCUCAUGAUUCCCUCAAGAGUGGUUAUAAGUUUAUCAAUUAUUUAUUAUAUAGUAGUUACUAUGCUCAACACUAAAUACUGCCAUGUAAAAUAGGAAUUUUGCAGAAGAGUUACCACAGUAGUGACCCAAGCCACUCAUGUGGCCAAUGAGUCAAUCAAUCAUGUAGACAUAAUAAGACCUCACAAAAAUUCUGGACACUGAGGAUCAGGUGAGCUUCCUUGUUGGUGAACACAUUGAUGUGUGAGGAGGGUGACAUGGAAAUCCUGUACUCAGAACUUCUCAAAACUUACCUGAUUUGUUUCUUUAUUUAGUUGGUCGUGUAAGUAUAAAUAUACUCCUGUAUUGGAUUUUGCAUGUCAUUCUACUGAAUUAUCAAACCGGAGGGGUAACAAAAUCAUGAAUUUGUAGUCAGUUGAUCAUAGUGCAGGUGAACUGGAGAUCCCAAACUUGUAGCCAACAUCUGAAAUAAGAGACUUGACUUCAACUUGUGGAAUCUGCACUAAUUUUGUGUGGUCACUGUCAGAACCGCAUCACAGUAUUGCAACAUUCCAAUUUAUUUCUACCUAGAGCUCUCCAGUUCAUCCCGGAAAUUUUGCCAACAAGCCUCUAAAUGGCUAUAUUCAAAACUUUGCAAAAUAAUGUUAUUUGGCAGAUAAAUACUAUAUGUUCUGGACUCUGAUCAUCAAUAUAACUCCCUUAAUUAUUUAAACCAGCCACAGACAGUGCUUUAUAGAAAUUAUAAUAUGGAGAAAUAUCAUGACUACAAGAAUACAAAAUGAGACUUGCUGUUGAGUUAGGCGUUAUCUACCACUAACAAGAAUUAUGACCUUGAAAAAAAUCACUCUGGACCCAUUUCAUCAUCCAAAAAAUAAGACAUUUGACUAAAUAAACUUUAAAGUCUUUGGGAACUCAUAGGUAGUAAGAUUCUUUUGGAUUUUAAUGCCUCAGUUUCCCUGUUGGCAAAUCAGAGUCCAUUUGACUGAGUCGUAUUCAACUAUGAUGAGAAAUAAGUGAAACAUUUCUACCUUCAUGAAAAGGAUAAACUUUAUUCAUUCUAAAUACGUUAUAACUCUGUUAAAAUUUUCACAGGAAAAUGAGAAAGCAAACAAAAAUAUGUAAGGCUUCUAGUUUCAGUAGAAAGUGGUUUUCCCUCAGCAUAUACCAGUGAGGUGAAAUAUUGAGGUAUAUAUGUUAAGAAGCAGAGAUGGAAAUACUAUGAUAUUUGAUUUCUACUUGGAUAUAAUUUUAAAAUUAAUCCAAAAUGAAAGUGUUUAAAACAUGUUUGUAAUAAGUGACACAAAAUCUGCUUACUAAUUAAAUAACCCUUCCUUCCUCUCUUCUCUUUACAUGUUUAUUUAAUAUCCCCCACCUGAAUCUGGAUUUUGAGAGAAAUUACUCAUAUCAGUGUACAAGCCAGUGUAAAGGAGACACACAUUAAUGCAUGUGUGUCAAUGAACAUGAUGGCAAAGGAGCUAUGCCAAUAUAAUGCAAUAGAAGUUCACACUAUUAUAAAGCUAUAAAAGGAAUACAGAAUUUGGAGUCAAGCAGAGCCUGAUUUGAAUCCUAGCUGCUCCGUACACCAGCUGUGUGUCCUUUGACAGCUUACAUUAACUUCAAUGAGCCUGUUUUCAUCUGCAAAAUUCCUAUUUUACACAGCUGUUUUUAGUGUUUAGCAUAGUGGCUGCUAUAUAAUAAAUAAUCGAUAGAGUAGUAACUUCUUUUGAGGGAAUCAUGAGAUUUCAUUCCUCCCCCACCCUUUUUUUGGCCAUAUUUGCAGCAUGUGGAAGUUUCUGGGCUGGAGAUUGAACUCACGCCACAGCAGUGACCCAGGCUGCUGCAGUGACAUAAAUUCUUAGCCCACUGGACCACAAGAAAACUCCCUCAUUUUCCUUUUUUGACUUCAGGCUCUACAUCUUUCAAAAGAGAAGGUGGACUAGGUAAUUACUAAAGACAUACCCAUCUUUAAUAUUCUUAUUAUUAAUUAUUUUUAUUGAUAUUUUAUCACAUCAUAUCAUCAGUAUAAUUUAUUAUACCACAUUAUGAAAUAUGAGAAUUCCAUUAUUUCAUGAAAGGCAAAUAAGUAAAUUCAAAUUAUUUUUAUUGUUCUUGGCAUUUUACAGUAACUGUCAAAGUAUAGAAUAGGUGCUUCAAUUUUAUUUUCUUGCCACUACCCCUUUCUCUCAUGGGUAAAGUCAAGUAUAUUUUCUGUGGAGGUGGUAAAGGCCUCAGAUAUAUUAUAUGGUGGUAGACUAAUGUUAAUUUUGAAUGAGGUAUCUCAGCCUUAUCAGCAUAUAGAAGAUUUGGUCAGAAGCCACUGUAUAAAGAGGAAGGUGCAUUGCAGGAUCUUUCUGACACACUGGUUAGAUAGACAUCUGACUUAAGGAUAUCCUUUCAACAUUGCAUUAAGUAAAUUGUUUAUGUGAAAAUUCAGUUUCUCUCUGUAGAUUAACUGGGACAUAGCUAUGAGUUGUACAAAUAAAUGCAAUAUGAAAUUUACUUAAAUCGCAUUUGCCUUUUUGUGUGUUUUGAUUCACCCUCGACAAUUUGGGGGAUAUACGUAUAAUAUAAAUAAUUAGAACUCUAGUUUAUUUUGCUGAUGUUGAACUUUGGAUAUUUUCAUUCUUAAUGCAGAGAUAGUCACAAAAACUGGAGACCUGAAAAAUAAGAAUGAGAUUUUUAAAUUAAUAGCCAGCUAUAUUUCACACUGCUAAGAUUUAGGUUAUAACUAGAGUUAUUUGCCUUUUCAGAAAAAAAGUGGCAUUUUUUUCCUUUAAAAAUAUAAAAUUCAUAGCAGGAUUAUUAUGCAAGUAAAAAUAAAAAUCCUCAUCUUUAAAUAGUUGAGGAUGGUGACAAAGUAGAGCAAAGUCAUUUAUUUAAAAAGUUGAUUUUAAAUUAGUGUUAAGAAAAACACAAGUACGCGCUUCCUUUUUCUGAUGGAACUGUGAGGAACUCAAAAAGCAAGAGUUAAAAGGCUGCCCAACAGCUCUAAAUUUUUUUGUGUACAGCCAUGUACAAGACUAUCUUCAUCUACUCACUGCAGAUUUGAUUUUUAUGAGCCUCAAAUUUUUUGUAUUGAACUUCUGUCAUAUUAUAAUCACAAAAAUAAGAUUUAUUAUAGUACAGCUUUUUGGUAAGUGGAGGGCUGAGCCUGCCAAAUGACUUUUGAGAGCACACUUGAGGAAUGGCAAAAUCUUACACAGAUGCAUUUUUUAUAUUAGUUUCUAAAAAUCCUAACAGGGAAGUUUUCCUUCCAAUUAAUAAUUCAAUGGCCAAUAAAAGCUGUAUGGGGAAAGGAUGAAUUAAUGUAACAAAAUGAAAAAAUUGAGGAAAAUACUCCAUAUUUUGCUCUGUCCCUCAAAUAUUAUUUUUUCUACUAAAAGUGUAAAAAAAUGUCAAACACCAGAUUGAGGUUAUGAUAAAAAUCUUACAAAAGGGCCAUAUUUAACAUCUCAUAAUUUACUGGGUAUAUAUUAUAAAGUAACAAUUCAAAGACAAAGUGCAACUAAUUCCAAUUGAUCUGUGUGUACAUCUAUUUCCCAGGUGGAUUGUUGAACAGUUUAUCAAAUGACACAUCAUAGAGCUUUAUUUUCCUUUUUAAGAAUUCAUUUAUUUUACGUGAAUUAUCCAGGAUAACUGAUUAGGUCCCCACCACGUAUUCUUUAAGUGCAGACACAGGCUAUGAAUCUCCCCAGAAGGCAGGUAUUCUCAUUACUGAGACCGUAUCAUUCUUACUGGAUUUCUCAAAGUCUCUGUUCCUUAGGUGCUAACAAAUCAUAACCAAUGUCUGUGUCAGGCCCUCACUUUUCUUGCUGGCCCUGGUGUUAUUAGUUAGGAGGCUCUCCAACUAUGUAACAAACAAUGUAAAGGGAUGGAUCCAGGAGAAAAAAAAAAAUCUUCCAGCAUUCUCUGGUCAUAGAUGAGAGGGUGUUCAUCCUGACUACAGCUAUUAUUCCAAUGAAUCUUACAAGUUGUAUCCAAGCAGUACUUUUGGUUUUAAUGUUUUAAUUAUGCUAGAUAGCCAGUAAAAUAGGGCUGCUGUUUACCUUGGGGGAUCAGACACAAGGAGUCAAAAGUCAUAUAAAUCCUCAAUUAUAAACACAGGGAAGAGGCAAGAUAAAAUUUAUGGGCAUAAAAUUGCCUGUGAAAUCACUGAUUUCCUUAUACAGUAGUAUGUGGAUAGAAAUGAAGAAAUAAGCAGCAUAUAAUUUAACAUUCAACGUCUAGGAGAUGUAUUCAAAGCAGGCUACCAAAAUACAAACUAUGUCUUGGGGGGCAUUAUCCAAACCAGUAGUGCUUUUACUAGAUGUGGAAUAAUAAACAAUCACAGUGAUCUGUUUAAUGUAGCUCAUAACAGUCAUCACUUCAUGAAAUAUGAAAUAUCAUAAAAUUCCCUUUGCGUUUAUUGUCUGUUUUCCUUGGCCUUUUCCUGUUAGUUUAAGCUUCUUGAUGAAAGGCUCUGUCUGCCUUAGUCAUCUCUGUAUUCCCAACUGUUGAAACAGCGCCUGGUCCACUGUAUGCACUCAAUACCUAUUGAGGGCUGAUUGAUAGUACCUUCCUAUUAUGCCUUAUUUCUUAUGGGACACCAUUGAUGUUGAUUUUCCUUUGUGUAGUAUUUCAAAAAAACUUUUCAUACAUUAUAUUUUGAAAACCUCUAUCAGCUGUUUUCUUUCACACAUAAUUUUAGGGGCUCCAGAUUUUAAGGUUUUAGUUACUGUUUCAUAAGGAACAAAAACUCAACACAUUACACAGGACAAACUGUUUAUGACAACAAAUCAAAUGUGAAAAUACCACCUCAUAAUUAAGUCAUUGGUUGGACAGCUAAUGUGGUAUGUGAUAGUUUCACAAAACAAACAAAACGUUACCUUCUUCUAGGAAGUUAUUAUCAACAGUAUUUGGAAAAGCAGUUUUGAAGUAAUAACCAAAUAUUGUCAAAUAAGAAUUCUCAUUUAUAUCUAAAUAUUUUUAUAUAUGAUUAAGCCAUUGUUUAGAAUUCACAAAAAAUUCAGUCGAACUUAAAAACUUUUUUUUUUGUUGCAAAAACAAAUAACUGGAAGUUAAUAAUAAAUUAACUGUUUUAUCAAA